rnacentral:sRNA from 1 species
AGCUGCGUCGGGCGAUCGGGAAACUCAUCAAUUAUUACAAAUUCCGAGAUAAGCAGUAUAUCGUAAUGGCGGGCCGCACCUUCGGGCAUUGCUUGCAAUGAUAACAGCGGAUUACAAAGCGUUUACUGCCCUCAAAUCCUAUCUUUCGGAGUUUUUACGUUAUCCUCCGGCGUGGCUUUUUUA